rnacentral:rRNA from 1 species
CAGUAGCCACGGGAAUACGUAGGGUGCGAGCGUUGUCCGGAAUUAUUGGGCGUAAAGAGCUUGUAGGCGGUCUGUCGCGUCUGCUGUGAAAACCCGAGGCUCAACCUCGGGCCUGCAGUGGGUACGGGCAGACUAGAGUGCGGUAGGGGAGAACGGAACUCCUGGUGUAGCGGUGGAAUGCGCAGAUAUCAGGAAGAACACCGAUGGCGAAGGCAGUUCUCUGGGCCGUAACUGACGCUGAGAAGCGAAAGCGUGGGGAGCGAACAGGAUUAGAUACCCCUGUAGUCCCUGUCUCUUAUAC